rnacentral:ncRNA from 2 species
CUCUUAUCAAGAGAGGUGGAGGGAAAGGGCCCGAUGAAACCCGGCAACCAGUGGAACUUAACACUAAGGUGCCAAUUCCUGCAAAGUUUUGCAAGAUAAGAG